CAAGAGCUCAAAUUUGAAAGCUGGCCCCCUCGGGGUCCGCAUUGUAAUUUGUAGAGGAUGCUUCGGGAGCGGUCCCCAUCUAAGUGCCCUGGAACGGGCCGUCAUAGAGGGUGAGAAUCCCGUAUGGGAUGGGGUGCCCGCGCCCGUGUGAAGCUCCUUCGACGAGUCGAGUUGUUUGGGAAUGCAGCUCUAAUUGGGUGGUAAAUUUCAUCUAAAGCUAAAUAUUGGCCGGAGACCGAUAGCGCACAAGUAGAGUGAUCGAAAGAUGAAAAGCACUUUGAAAAGAGAGUUAAACAGCACGUGAAAUUGUUGAAAGGGAAGCGCUUGCGAUCAGACUCGCUCGCGGGGUUCAGCCGGCCUUCGGGCCGGUGUACUUCCCCGCGGGCGGGCCAGCGUCGGUUUGGGCGGCCGGUCAAAGGCCCCUGGAAUGUAACGCCUCUCGGGGCGUCUUAUANCCAGGGGUGCCAUGCGGCCUGCCCGGACCGAGGAACGCGCUUCGGCUCG
rnacentral:rRNA from 1 species